rnacentral:rRNA from 1 species
UACGGAGGGUGCAAGCGUUAUCCGGAUUCACUGGGUUUAAAGGGAGCGUAGGAGGGCAGGUAAGUCAGUGGUGAAAUCUUCGAGCUUAACUCGGAAACUGCCGUUGAUACUAUCUGUCUUGAAUACCGUGGAGAUGAGCGGAAUAUGUCAUGUAGCGGUGAAAUGCUUAGAUAUGACAUAGAACACCAAUUGCGAAGGCAGCUCGUUACACGAAAUAUUGACUCUGAGGCUCGAAAGCGUGGGGAGUCAAACAGGA